rnacentral:lncRNA from 1 species
ACUUUUAUGACAAUAUUUUCUUCUUCCACGGAAAAAAAGCACUCAUGUCCAAAAACUUUCAUCUUCCAACAUCAUGGGUUGUUAUUUCAAGGGCUUGGUUAGGCUUUUCUUGUUGGAGUAUCCUCGCUAAGAAGCUUUCAUCCUCUACUUAUGAAAAUGCUAUUUCAAGAAAUGCUGUUUCAGAAUAAACUAAAUAUAUUUGUGAGAGAAGAAUUUUUAAUAAAUAUCAUAAGUCUGUUAUUACAGCUCAAAAGGACCAAAGUUCUCUAUGAUAAUUCUUGAAAGAACCAGACUUCUUCUUAAGUUACAAGCAGUAGCUUUUGAAAGCUUCCUUCUUCGACGGAAAAAAGAAGU